GAUGAACGCUGGCGGCGUGCUUAAUACAUGCAAGUCGAGCGAACAGACCAGGAUUUUGCUCCUCUGACGUUAGCGGCGGACGGGUGAGCAACACGUGGAUCACCUCUUUAUAUGACUGGGAUAUCUUCGGGAAACCGGAGCUAACACCGGAUAAUUUCUUGAACCGCAUGGUUGAUUAGUGAAAGACGGUUUUGCUGUCACUUAUAGAUGGAUCCGCGCUGCAUUAGCUAGUUGGGAGGGUAACGGCUUACCAAGGCAACGAUCCGUAGCCGACGUGAGAGGGGGGUCGGCCACCUUGGAAGUGGAACAGGGUCCAGACUCCUACGAGAGGGAGCAGAAGGGAAUCGUCGGCAGUAGGCGAGAGCCUGACGGAACGACGCGACGUGAGUGAUGGCAGUCUUGGGUGCGGAAUGCUCUGCUAUGGGGGAAGAACAAAUGUGUAAGUAGCUGUGCACGUCUUGACGGUACCUGGUCAAGAAGCCACGGCUAACUACGUG
rnacentral:rRNA from 1 species